UAAUGUUGUGGUUUUUAUAUAUAUAUAUAUAGAGAGAGAGAGAGAGAGAGAGAGAGAGAGAAUUAAUGUUAGCUUUUAUUCAUUUUGAAUGUUUGGUAACAUAAUCUCAUACAUUUUCAAUUGUGGUGGUUCUCUUUGAUGGCAUUGAAACGGCUUUUGAGUGUUAAGGAGGAUGAUGAUGGCUCUUGGGAAUCCAAACGAAGAUUUACGUUUGCAACUUCAAGACAUGAGUAAAGAAGAGUUCUUGAAGAUCCAGACCGAGAGGAUUGAAGGCCAUGGAAAGCAGCAUCGAUAGCGAUUCAGAAUGACAAUGAAGGAUGUGGAUAAGGGCUUUCCUUUGGAUUCUUAUUUCCCUUCUUUUUUCUUUUUCUCCUCUAAUCUGAUUGGGGAGUGUUUUGGUUCACUUUCUUCUUAUUUUUUGUGUUACAUGAGAGAGAGAGAGAGAGAGAGAGAGAGAGAGGGUAAUAUUAUUUUGUGACUUCGAAUACAAAUUAGUAAUUUUUUUUGUUGAGAAUUGUGAAUUUAAUUUUUGGAUAUGUUAUUUUGUGGGUAAUGGUGAUUGUAUAUUAAAUUGAAUGGGAAAGCGAAUUAAUGCUGCAUUUGCUAUUUGAAUGAGAGUUAUUAUUUUA